GUCACUUCUUGGCCUUUUGGCUAAGAUCAAGUAUAGUAUCUGUUCUUAUCAGAGAGGGAAGGGAGAGUUGAUUUUUGAGCCAUGUUUGAUUCUAAUAAUAAAUAAUACUAUGUACAAAUAUUU
rnacentral:snRNA from 2 species